rnacentral:rRNA from 1 species
AUUGAACGCUGGCGACAGGCUUAACACAUGCAAGUCGAACGGUAACAGGAAGAAAGCUUGCUUCCUUUGCUGACGAGUGGCGGACGGGUGAGUAAUGCUUGGGAAUCUGGCUUAUGGAGGGGGAUAACUACGGGAAACUGUAGCUAAUACCGCAUAAUAUCGAGAGAUUAAAGGGUGGGACCGCAAGGCCACCUGCCAUGAGAUGAGCCCAAGUGGGAUUAGGUAGUUGGUGAGGUAAGGGCUCACCAAGCCGACGAUCUCUAGCUGGUCUGAGAGGAUGACCAGCCACACUGGAACUGAGACACGGUCCAGACUCCUACGGGAGGCAGCAGUGGGGAAUAUUGCACAAUGGGGGGAACCCUGAUGCAGCCAUGCCGCGUGAAUGAAGAAGGCCUUCGGGUUGUAAAGUUCUUUCGGUAGCGAGGAAGGCAUUUAGUUUAAUAGACUAGGUGAUUGACGUUAACUACAGAAGAAGCACCGGCUAACUCCGUGCCAGCAGCCGCGGUAAUACGGGGGGUGCGAGCGUUAAUCGGAAUAACUGGGCGUAAAGGGCACGCAGGCGGUGACUUAAGUGAGAUGUGAAAGCCCCGGGCUUAACCUGGGAAUUGCAUUUCAUACUGGGUCGCUAGAGUACUUUAGGGAGGGGUAGAAUUCCACGUGUAGCGGUGAAAUGCGUAGAGAUGUGGAGGAAUACCGAAGGCGAAGGCAGCCCCUUGGGAAUGUACUGACGCUCAUGUGCGAAAGCGUGGGGAGCAAACAGG